UUACCGUCAAAUGGCCACUUUGGCACUUCCCAGCAGGCCGUGCGGCCAUGACGACGGUCAUCGUCCCAACUCUCACUGGCCAUCAAUCACACCGUGACACAAAGGACUGACAGCUAUGCUUGUUAUAAUAAUGCGUCGGUGAGAAAAACAUGCCGAUUUAGUAACACGGAGGGAAUGUUUACAUGCAACGCUGUACCUGUCACAAGUCUAUGUUUACUUUUGGUGGUGCGAGCACUGAAGAAUAAUUACCUGCUGGGUUGUGAUUGGCUACUGAGGGGAAAAAAAUUCUGAAGGCAAAAGACACCAUGGCAACCCACCUGACACCUUAUGACCUAUUUAAAUGUGAUGUAACCAGACAUAAUUCAGUGAUAUGUCUCAGCUUCCCUGCAAGCAAGUCCAGACGCCCCCCCCCAGCAUCCAUUAUUAAAUAUGCCGCAAAUCUGUAGUCAGAAAUUGAUUUGAAACUCCUUAGAGGCAACCUGCAAACAGCAGAAAAGGAGAUGAGCGGCUGGAGAGCGGCGUGGAGGCGUAGACCAUACUCACGCACGGGAAAAUGGCUUCUUCAUUCAACAGACACAAAGCGGCCCGUGUUUUUAGUACAGCUUGAUACAUUUAACGUAUUUAAUGUUGAUUAGAAUCUUCUGUGCUUCUCAGGCAGGAGCAAAUUACUGUGGGGAAAAAAAAAGUGUUUUGUAAAUCAGUCAUUAACGGAAUUUAAAUUACCGUAGCAGUUGACGGCCCGGGCUUCAGGUGAGGAGUAUUGAAAAGUAACAUUCCCAGGGGAGUCAUAUGGAUUUCAGCAGUUAAAUGAUAUGCUAAUACAAUGAUAAUUGUUAAAAUAAUGUAUUUUAUGCUAAUUACUUCCAACCGAAUUUACAUCAGAUUAUUUCAAAAGUACUCGUAUAUGGAUCACUGUGCCCGUCUUUGUGUGAAGGCAAGCUGUCUUAGUUUAAGGUGCUGGUCUGCCUUGCUAAUUUAUUAAAAAAAACAUUAAUUCUGUUUGGUAACUUUUAUUCUGUUUGGAGUGAAUGGGACCCUGUUUGGUCCCAUAUUUCCUCAGGGGGUUGAGCCCCUACUUAGGGUAAAAUCCUGGAUAGACUCACCCCUGGUGAAUAGCUUCAUAUUAAAAACCAAAGAAACUGGAAUUUAAGUUUUGAAUAAAUAAAAAGAAGUGCAUAAAGCAUACAACUGAAUCUCAUCACAGAAGAUACAGUUAUGCUCCUGGAAAAAAAGCUACAUAUAGAUUUAAAAAAAAAAUCUAUUUAGUAUAUUAUAUUUAUGCAUAUUUUUUGCAACAUAAGCAGCAGGCACUGAGGCGGGCAGCCAAAUGGGGUCCUCACGGCUGCUCUGAUUGCUGGCUGGGACACAGCUGGUACAGCUAACGUUACAGGCAGCUGGCAGCAGGAAAAGGCGGCCAGCUGUCGUGCACAAUGACCCGCUUCAGCUCGCCCGAGCCUUUGGGGCUGCUGGCUGAGCGGCGCUGGCGGCGGCGUGAGCUGGAAACAGAGCCGCGAGACCCUAAUCGGAGACGCGCACUCGUCCUUCUCGAGGCUGCGCCACCGGGACCGGCAACUUUGCCUUCCGUGAUGCUGUGAUGAAAUACUGAGUUUUGCAAGGACACAGACCUACCCCUAUGCUCUCCAGCCUCUCUGAAUCAUCCAGAAGAUUCUGCAGGCUUAGCGAUCGACACUCUUCCUCAGCCAGCCACUCCUGCUCCUUUGGCGGCAGAUGGCGCGACACGAGAGCCGGCCUGACACCCAGACCGGGCCAGGCCUGGCCGCACCUUGUGUUGUCCUCCUGCUCUUCUGCUCAUUCCAGACUCCAGCUCAAACUGCUCCACCCAUCUUCUCCGUCUUAGUGUGUUUUAUGUCUUCACUCCAACAUCAAAUCUAAGAAUUCACUCAGAGCAGGGACUGUAUAUUUUUUUGUAUGCUGAAAGCUUGUGGUAUUUCAUUUAAUACUAAAGCUCAAAAAAUUCAUUUAAAACAGGACAUGCAUUUCUAUAUCAAAAGCUCUGGAAAUCCUAUUAAGAUGAGAGCUAUAAAACGAGUCCACCUAUUUGAACAAUGGUCCUGAAACACUCUGUAAUAAACCCCUCAGAUUGCUGUAAAAGACUUUCCAUGUGGCUAUUUGAAGAUGAUAUUGUGUCACUCGGGUCUGAAUGUUACAACUCGAAACCAAAAUCAUCAAAACAGCAGCUAAAGUCCCUUUAAAGGGAGGAUUGCUAGCAGAGCUGGAAUUAAAGAGAAACAUUGCUUUUUUUGUAAAGGUCAACCGAUAAAUGUAACAAUGGCCCACCUAUUAAUUUUCUGUGCCACGUUUCCGCUUAAUUGACUCCUAAUGGGUUUUCUGCUAGUUUCAAACAGCCAGCUAAUUGGAUCGCAGUCAGGCAAAGCACAUGGAAAGCCGCGUGGUUUUAUCGCUCCGCUGUCUUUCAUAUUCCGUUUUCUCUAAUGAAACCUCCAUGCCUGCCAUCCUAGAGCCAUGGCCGUCUACAGCCCAGAGGACCUCGCUGUUCCCCCAGUCAUGCUCAUUCGCUUCACUCCGCUCUCUUUCAAACAGCAGCCAUAUUGACCGACGCACCAUGUAUUCUCUUCUGAAGGUUACAGUUCAGUUCGGUUCAUUUCAGUGUUUCCUUUAGGUUCUUUCCAACGUGGUUUUACUCGGGAUGCAACAUCAGAGUUACAGAUGGGCUACAGUGGCAGCUGACAUUAAUGAGAGUGUAACAGAUUACUGGCAGACUAAAAACAAGCAGGAUUUUAACAUUUUUAAAAGGGUAAAGGAGCCACAUGGGAACUAGAGGAAGAAAACAAAUAAUUCUAAUAUUCUUUGGUCCUGCUCUGGGGCUGAUCAUCCAGUAUAGCCAGGCAUACCUCAUGUGUCAAAGCAGGAGCGCUGACUGUUGGCUUCUGAUUGGCUUUCCACGUUGCUGGCCGGUGACCUGUAACAGGGAUUGGUCGGUGACUUUGUUGCAUUAUUGAGUCCAGGCUAGGCUUGAUCCAGAAGCUCAGUGUGUAGGUUUGAUGCUUAGGCAGAGACAUUCCCAAGUGAGAAGUGUGAGGGAGAGAGAACAUGGUCCACGAUGUACAACAGAGAGCUCCAUUAAGCGAGAGAAUGAAGGACUUUUGCAUGAAAUCAAAGCAAUGAUGUCAAGGCAAAGAAAUGAAAAUGUUACAUUUUUGUGGUAAUGGUCUAUAGCCUAUAGUACAAUGUAAAAUCCCUUCCUAAGCUCUUUCCAGGUUUUCUGCAUUUGAUCAUUACUGGAGGAAACAUCACCAUCUGUGCUUGUGAUGUUUCGACGUCAGACAAAUACAAUUUGGCUAUAAAUAAAAUUCAAGUUCAAUCGA